rnacentral:rRNA from 1 species
AACGAACGCUGGCGGCAGGCCUAACACAUGCAAGUCGAGCGCCCUUUCGGGGGAGCGGCGGACGGGUGAGUAACGCGUGGGAAUAUGCCCUUCUCUACGGAAUAGCCUCGGGAAACUGAGAGUAAUACCGUAUACGCCCUGUGGGGGAAAGAUUUAUCGGGGAAGGAUUAGCCCGCGUUGGAUUAGGUAGUUGGUGGGGUAAUGGCCUACCAAGCCGACGAUCCAUAGCUGGUUUGAGAGGAUGAUCAGCCACACUGGGACUGAGACGCGGCCCAGACUCCUACGGGAGGCAGCAGUGGGGGAUCUUAGACAAUGGGGGCAACCCUGAUCUAGCCAUGCCGCGUGAGUGAUGAAGGCCUUAGGGUUGUAAAGCUCUUUCAGCUGGGAAGAUAAUGACGGUACCAGCAGAAGAAGCCCCGGCUAACUCCGUG